GCUCUGAUAGCUCAAUUGGUUAGAGCACCCGUUUAGUAAGUGGGAGUUCUUGAGUUCAACUCUUAAUCAGAGCA